UACAGAGGGUGCAAGCGUUGCUCGGAAUCAUUGGGCGUAAAGGGUAGGUAGGUGGUCUCAUUUGUCUGGGGUGAAAGCCCAGGGCUUAACCCUGGAAGUGCCCCGGAAACGGUGAGACUAGGGUACUGGAGAGGGUCGUGGAAUUCCCGGUGUAGCGGUGAAAUGCGUAGAGAUCGGGAGGAACACCAGAGGCGAAGGCGGCGACCUGGACAGUUACUGACACUCAACUACGAAAGCGUGGGGAGCAAACAGG
rnacentral:rRNA from 1 species